rnacentral:rRNA from 1 species
CCUACGGGAGGCAGCAGUGAGGAAUAUUGGUCAAUGGGCGCGAGCCUGAACCAGCCAAGUCGCGUGAGGGAUGACGGUCCUACGGAUUGUAAACCUCUUUUGCCGGGGAGCAAGCGUGCGUUCGUGAACGCACGUCGAGAGUACCCGGAGAAAAAGCAUCGGCUAACUCCGUGCCAGCAGCCGCGGUAAUACGGAGGAUGCGAGCGUUAUCCGGAUUUAUUGGGUUUAAAGGGUGCGUAGGCGGGCUGUUAAGUCAGCGGUAAAAGCCCGGGGCCCAACCCCGGCGAGCCGUUGAAACUGGCUGGCUUGAGAUGUCGAGAGGUAUGCGGAAUGCGCAGUGUAGCGGUGAAAUGCUUAGAUAUUGCGCAGAACUCCGAUUGCGAAGGCAGCAUACCGGCGGCGAUCUGACGCUGAGGCACGAAAGCGUGGGUAUCGAACAGGAUUAGAUACCCCUGUAGUC